rnacentral:rRNA from 1 species
UAUGUGAUCGUCUCUUGCAUAUCAAUAAGCGGAGGAAAAGAAACUAACAAGGAUUCCCCUAGUAACGGCGAGUGAAGCGGGAAGAGCUCAAAUUUGAAAUCUUAAAGGGUUUCCCUUUACGAAUUGUAGUUUAAAGGAGUGUUUUCUGUUGAGGUUUUGGUAAAAGUUCUUUGGAAUAGGACAUCAUAGAGGGUGAGGAUCCCGUAUUUGACCUUUACUUUCAACUUUGUGAUACACUUUCAAAGAGUCGGAUUGUUUGGGAAUGCAGUCCAAAAUGGGUGGUAAAUUUCAUCUAAAGCUAAAUAUUGGCGAGAGACCGAUAGCGAACAAGUACCGUGAGGGAAAGAUGAAAAGAACUUUGAAAAGGAGAGUUAAACAGUACGUGAAAUUGUCAAAAGGGAAGCGUUUGACACCAGUGUUGUUUUUCUGAAAAUCAAUUAAAGAACUGUUUAUGCUAAGCUGUUUAGACUUUAUCAGCUAACUGUUUAGUUUUGAGCUUUUCUUUAAUGCACUUUUCAGUUAACAAGUCAACAUCAAUUUCUUUUGCUGUAAAAAAGCUUGAGGAAGGUGGCUUGAGAUUCGUCUUAAGUGUUUAUAGCCUCUUGCCUAUGCAGUCGGAGAGAUUGAGGUCUGCAGCGUAGAUCCUUCGGGGCUAAAUGCAUUUGUGCUAAGUUAUAACAUUUUAUAGACAACUUGUUGACUAUGAUUUGUCUUGUAGCUUACUCGCUUAUGUUAUUUUACCUACGCUUAGGAUGUUGAAGACUCUACAGAGAUA